rnacentral:rRNA from 1 species
UACAGAGGGUGCAAGCGUUAAUCGGAAUUACUGGGCGUAAAGCGCGCGUAGGUGGUUCGUUAAGUUGGAUGUGAAAGCCCCGGGCUCAACCUGGGAACUGCAUUCAAAACUGACGAGCUAGAGUAUGGUAGAGGGUGGUGGAAUUUCCUGUGUAGCGGUGAAAUGCGUAGAUAUAGGAAGGAACACCAGUGGCGAAGGCGACCACCUGGGACUGAUACUGACACUGAGGUGCGAAAGCGUGGGGAGCAAACAGG